CCCAUGUUUCCCAGUGUUCCCAUGUCACUAGGACACUAGGGGACAUUGAGAGACAUUGGGACACUGGGAGACACUGAGAUACUAGGGAACAUUGGGAGACCUGGGGACACUGGGAGACAUGGGGACACUGGGUGACUUUGAGACAUGAGGGGACACUGGGAGACAUGGGGCACUGAGACACUGGGAUACAUAGGGGACACUGUGAUACAUAGGGGACACUGGAG